CUUGGUCAUUUAGAGGAAGUAAAAGUCGUAACAAGGUCUCCGUUGGUGAACCAGCGGAGGGAUCAUUACCGAGUUAUACAACUCAUCAACCCUGUGAACAUACCUAAAACGUUGCUUCGGCGGGAACAGACGGCCCUGUAACAACGGGCCGCCCCCGCCAGAGGACCCCUAACUCUGUUUUUAUAAUGUUUUUCUGAGUAAACAAGCAAAUAAAUUAAAACUUUCAACAACGGAUCUCUUGGCUCUGGCAUCGAUGAAGAACGCAGCGAAAUGCGAUAAGUAAUGUGAAUUGCAGAAUUCAGUGAAUCAUCGAAUCUUUGAACGCACGUUGCGCCCGCCAGUAUUCUGGCGGGCAUGCCUGUUCGAGCGUCAUUACAACCCUCAGGCCCCCGGGCCUGGCGUUGGGGAUCGGCGGAAGCCCCCUGUGGGCACACGCCGUCCCUCAAAUACAGUGGCGGUCCCGCCGCAGCUUCCAUUGCGUAGUAGCUAACACCUCGCAACUGGAGAGCGGCGCGGCCAUGCCGUAAAACACCCAACUUCUGAAUGUUGACCUCGAAUCAGGUAGGAAUACCCGCUGAACUUAAGCAUAUCAAUAAGCGGAGGA
rnacentral:rRNA from 1 species